ensembl:snRNA U6 U6 spliceosomal RNA
GUGUUCACUUGGGCAGCACAUAUACUAGAAAUUGAAAUGAUCCAGAGAUCAGCACGGCCCCUACCAAGGUUGACACACACAUUCACCAAGCAUUCUACGUUUUU